rnacentral:rRNA from 1 species
UACGUAGGGGGCAAGCGUUGUCCGGAUUUACUGGGCGUAAAGAGCGCGUAGGCGGAAGCUUAAGUGUGGCCUGAAAGCCCCCGGCUCAACCGGGGAGGGUGGCUGCAAACUGGGCUUCUUGAGGGCGGCAGAGGAGAGUGGAAUUCUCGGUGUAGUGGUGAAAUGCGUAGAUAUCGAGAGGAACACCAGUGGCGAAGGCGGCUCACUGGGCACCACCUGACGCUGAGGCGCGAAAGCGUGGGGAGCGAACCGG